rnacentral:rRNA from 1 species
AUGUUGACGGCGACGCGCUUGGCGGCUUCAACCCCAACAUCACCUUCCCGCAUGGCGCCGCGCCGCCGCCCCCCCUCCCCCCCGGUCUUCAACCCCGACCCGCGCACACCCUUCCCCGCGUUCACCGCCGGCCUCAACACCCAAUACAACUACUUGUCGCUGACGUACUCAGGCUCGCCUGCGCUGACUCUGCGCCUUGGGGCCCUACCCUUCGCACUUGGCUCGGCCCCGCAGUUCAGCAGCACAGCCGCCGACAUGGACGAGAUCAUCACGAACGGCUCAGUCGCCUCCGCUUUGUGCCCUAGGUUCCGCUCGCAAGAUGAAACGCUAGACACUGCUGUUGACAUGGAGGACAUCGAGCAUGACGAUGCCGAGGAGGAAGAGCCGGCGGAGCCAGCGGCCAAAGGGAGAAAGAAGAAGCGGCCAUCCAACCCCAGGCCUGGCGAGCCUCGUGUCAAGUGGACGCCAAAGGAAGACAAGUGCCUCGCCGAAGCAUGGAAGACUGUCAGCAUCAACCCAAUCACCGGCGCGAAUCAGAACGCCGACACCUACUGGAGAAGGAUCAAGACGGCGUUCGACGAGCGCAAAUUGGUCGACCCCGACUUCUCCAGCAUUCACAUGGAUCGCGGCGAGAAGGCCAUGGCGAACCAUUGA